UACGUAGGGACCGAGCGUUGUCCGGAAUCAUUGGGCGUAAAGAGCGUGUAGGCGGCUUGCUAAGUCUUGCGUGAAAUCUCGGGGGCUCAACCCCCGAGCGGUCGUGGGAAACUGGCAGGCUAGAGUGCGGGAGAGGAGAAUGGAAUUCCUGGUGUAGCGGUGAAAUCGCAGAUAUCAGGAAGAACACCCGUGGCGAAGGCGGUUCUCUGGAACGCAACUGACGCUGAGACGCGAAAGCGUGGGGAGCAAACAGG
rnacentral:rRNA from 1 species